UCCGGUUUGUCACCGGCAGUCUCAUUAGAGUGCUCUUUCGUAGCAACUAAUGACAAGGGUUGCGCUCGUUGCGGGACUUAACCCAACAUCUCACGACACGAGCUGACGACAGCCAUGCAGCACCUGUGUGUCGGCUCCCUUUCGGGCACGCCUCCGUCUCGAGAGGCUUCCGACCAUGUCAAGGGUAGGUAAGGUUUUUCGCGUUGCAUCGAAUUAAACCACAUGCUCCACCGCUUGUGCAGGCCCCCGUCAAUUCCUUUGAGUUUUAAUCCUGCGACCGUACUCCCCAGGCGGUCGACUUCACGCGUUAGCUGCGGUACUAAGGAAGUCUCCUUCCCCAACACCUAGUCGACAUCGUUUAGGGCGUGGACUAC
rnacentral:misc_RNA from 1 species